rnacentral:rRNA from 1 species
AUUACGGAAAGUAAACACGGAUCAAACCGCAGAACUUCUAAACCUUUGACGAUUGACUCAUGUUGCCUCGGCGGGUUCUCCCGCCAGAGGAUACAUCAAAACUCCUGUUUUAACGGUGUUGUCUGAGCUACAAGCAACGAAUCAAAACUUUCAACAACGGAUCUCUUGGUUCUGGCAUCGAUGAAGAACGCAGCGAAAUGCGAUAAGUAGUGUGAAUUGCAGAAUUCAGUGAAUCAUCGAAUCUUUGAACGCACAUUGCGCCCCUUGGUAUCCCGAGGGGCAUGCCUGUUCGAGCGUCAUUUCACCACUCAAGCCUGGCUUGGUGUUGGGCGACGUCCCCUUUAGGGACGCGCCUCGAAACGCUCGGCGGCGUGGCACCGGCUUUAAGCGUAGCAGAUUCUUUCGCUUUGAAAGUCGGGGCCCCGUCUGCCGGAAGACCUACUCGCAAGGUUGACCUCGGAUCAGGCAGGGAUACCCGCUGAACUUAAGCAUAUCAAUAAGCGGAG